CCAAACCUGGUUAAGCAUAACCGCUGCGUAAUCACGAUUUCGGCCGAUUAUCGUCCUCAAUCUCGGUUAGUUUCUGGAGAUAUUGAUAAUGACGUUAACAAUUAUUAAAAUAUUAACAAAAUAAUAUCAUAGAACAAUAAUAAUAUUAUGUAGCAUAUUUAUUUUUUUCAUUUUGUUAAUCGUUUUCGUUUAAACUUCAAGUGUUUUGUUAAUUUGUUUUUUGGUUUCGAUUAUAAUAAUUAAUAUUUAUAUAAAAAAUGCAACGAGCUUGUAAACGUGUUCUACAGCUUUGUUUUGAAAACGAUAAAGACGAUGAAGACGAAGACGAAUUUGUAAUUUUCCCUAUCCACCAUCCUAGAUGGAUACGGGAGAGGGCCGAAUACUUCGAAAGUCUGGAUGAUCGGGAUUUCAUUACAAGGUACAGACUGAGAAAACCAACAGUAAAAAAAUAGAACAUCGUCUUGAGUAUGAAACAGACAGAUCAGUCCGUGAAGUUUGAGCUUACAAUUACAAAAUGACUUCAAAGUAUAACAGUUUUUUUUUUCGACAGUAUAUCUCCGAUUAAUCAGUUAUUAUGCACACUUCGGUUCUAUGCCAUUGGAUGCUUUCAACCCACUACAGGGGUUCUUUGUGGCUUUAGUUCCUCAACAGUAAAUAGGAUAGUGUAUAAAGUAAGCUGUACUAUUGCUUCCUUAUGUAGUCACUAGUCCUGGAACACCAGAGGAAAUAGGACAGACCCAGUUAAAUUUUUACAGAAGAGCCAAGUUUGCAAGAGUCAUCGGUGCUAUUGACUGUACCCAUGUAAAGCUGUAACAAUCACCAGGUGGAGAAUCUUAUAUAAUUAGUCACAGAUAAGGACAAUAAAUGUCUGUGGUUUACGAGUAAAUCUUAUACGUUUAUUCCCUAUCAUCACUGCAACAUCAGCAUUACAUAAUAUUGCUGGAAGAGCUGGGGAGGAAGUCCCCAGAUGAUUUGAUAUGAUACUGUCUGCUCCUUGGGAAGAAAUACUUGCCCAGGAUAACAUAGAAAUUCAAUAUGCACCAAACCCCAUUCAUCGAAGAGUAACACAGCAAAAUAGUGGACGGCAGGCAUUAAUAGAUGGUCACUUUGAGAGAUUAAUCACACAUCGACAAAUUGAUUAGUGUUAAGCAAUAUAUUUACUCAUUCUAACUAAUGUUUUUAAAAAUAAAAUAUUGUCCAACCA